CCGUACACAAAAGCGCAUGUGCUGUGAGCUCGAUGAGUAGGGCGGGACACGUGGUAUCCUGUCUGAAUAUGGGGGGACCAUCCUCCAAGGCUAAAUACUCCUGACUGACCGAUAGUGAACCAGUACCGUGAGGGAAAGGCGAAAAGAACCCCGGCGAGGGGAGUGAAAAAGAACCUGAAACCGUGUACGUACAAGCAGUGGGAGCACAGGUUUACCUGUGUGACUGCGUACCUUUUGUAUAAUGGGUCAGCGACUUAUAUUCUGUAGCAAGGUUAACCGAAUAGGGGAGCCGGAGGGAAACCGAGUCUUAAUUGGGCGUUAAGUUGCAGGGUAUAGACCCGAAACCCGGUGAUCUAGCCAUGGGCAGGUUGAAGGUUGGGUAACACUAACUGGAGGACCGAACCGACUAAUGUUGAAAAAUUAGCGGAUGACCUGUGGCUGGGGGUGAAAGGCCAAUCAAACCGGGAGAUAGCUGGUUCUCCCCGAAAGCUAUUUAGGUAGCGCCUCGUGAAUUCAUCUCCGGGGGUAGAGCACUGUUUCGGCUAGGGGGCCAUCCCGGCUUACCAACCCGAUGCAAACUGCGAAUACCGGAGAAUGUUAUCACGGGAGACACACGGCGGGUGCUAACGUCCGUCGUGAAGAGGGAAACAACCCAGACCGCCAGCUAAGGUCCCAAAGUCAUGGUUAAGUGGGAAACGAUGUGGGAAGGCCCAGACAGCCAGGAUGUUGGCUUAGAAGCAGCCAUCAUUUAAAGAAAGCGUAAUAGCUCACUGGUCGAGUCGGCCUGCGCGGAAGAUGUAACGGGGCUAAACCAUGCACCGAAGCUGCGGCAGCGAACGUAUCACCCAAGACAACUUUACGGAGUUGACGAUUGACGGAGCGAAGCGACGUCAAAGCGUUCAUUAAAGUCGAGUUGGCUUAGGGAUACGUUCGUUGGGUAGGGGAGCGUUCUGUAAGCCUGUGAAGGUGUGUCGUGAGGCAUGCUGGAGGUAUCAGAAGUGCGAAUGCUGACAUAAGUAACGAUAAAGCGGGUGAAAAGCCCGCUCGCCGGAAGACCAAGGGUUCCUGUCCAACGUUAAUCGGGGCAGGGUGAGUCGACCCCUAAGGCGAGGCCGAAAGGCGUAGUCGAUGGGAAACGGGUUAAUAUUCCCGUACUUGGUGUUACUGCGAAGGGGGGACGGAGAAGGCUAUGUUGGCCGGGCGACGGUUGUCCCGGUUUAAGCGUGUAGGUGUGUGUUCCAGGUAAAUCCGGUUCACUUUAACACUGAGGCGUGACGACGAGGCACUACGGUGCUGAAGCAACAAAUGCCCUGCUUCCAGGAAAAGCCUCUAAGCAUCAGGUAACACGAAAUCGUACCCCAAACCGACACAGGUGGUCAGGUAGAGAAUACCAAGGCGCUUGAGAGAACUCGGGUGAAGGAACUAGGCAAAAUGGUGCCGUAACUUCGGGAGAAGGCACGCUGACACGUAGGUGAAGUGAUUUACUCAUGGAGCUGAAGUCAGUCGAAGAUACCAGCUGGCUGCAACUGUUUAUUAAAAACACAGCACUGUGCAAACACGAAAGUGGACGUAUACGGUGUGACGCCUGCCCGGUGCCGGAAGGUUAAUUGAUGGGGUCAGCGCAAGCGAAGCUCCUGAUCGAAGCCCCGGUAAACGGCGGCCGUAACUAUAACGGUCCUAAGGUAGCGAAAUUCCUUGUCGGGUAAGUUCCGACCUGCACGAAUGGCGUAAUGAUGGCCAGGCUGUCUCCACCCGAGACUCAGUGAAAUUGAACUCGCUGUGAAGAUGCAGUGUACCCGCGGCAAGACGGAAAGACCCCGUGAACCUUUACUAUAGCUUGACACUGAACAUUGAGCCUUGAUGUGUAGGAUAGGUGGGAGGCUUUGAAGUGUGGACGCCAGUCUGCAUGGAGCCGACCUUGAAAUACCACCCUUUAAUGUUUGAUGUUCUAACGUGGACCCGUAAUCCGGGUUGCGGACAGUGUCUGGUGGGUAGUUUGACUGGGGCGGUCUCCUCCUAAAGAGUAACGGAGGAGCACGAAGGUUGGCUAAUCCUGGUCGGACAUCAGGAGGUUAGUGCAAUGGCAUAAGCCAGCUUGACUGCGAGCGUGACGGCGCGAGCAGGUGCGAAAGCAGGUCAUAGUGAUCCGGUGGUUCUGAAUGGAAGGGCCAUCGCUCAACGGAUAAAAGGUACUCCGGGGAUAACAGGCUGAUACCGCCCAAGAGUUCAUAUCGACGGCGGUGUUUGGCACCUCGAUGUCGGCUCAUCACAUCCUGGGGCUGAAGUAGGUCCCAAGGGUAUGGCUGUUCGCCAUUUAAAGUGGUACGCGAGCUGGGUUUAGAACGUCGUGAGACAGUUCGGUCCCUAUCUGCCGUGGGCGCUGGAGAACUGAGGGGGGCUGCUCCUAGUACGAGAGGACCGGAGUGGACGCAUCACUGGUGUUCGGGUUGUCAUGCCAAUGGCACUGCCCGGUAGCUAAAUGCGGAAGAGAUAAGUGCUGAAAGCAUCUAAGCACGAAACUUGCCCCGAGAUGAGUUCUCCCUGAGACUUAGAGUCUCCUGAAGGAACGUUGAAGACGACGACGUUGAUAGGCC
rnacentral:rRNA from 1 species